UCUGGUGGUUUUUGCGAAAGGGAUACACCUGAUUCCAUCUCGAACUCAGAAGUUAAGCCUUUUAGCGUCGAUGAUACUUGGGCAUUAGCCCUGGGAAAGUAGAUCGCCGCCAGAA
rnacentral:rRNA from 1 species